AUUGAACGCUGGCGGCAGGCUUAACACAUGCAAGUCGAGCGAGCGGCGGACGGGUGAGUAAUGUCUGGGAAACGGCCUGAUGGAGGGGGAUAACUACUGGAAACGGUAGCUAAUACCGCAUACCAUCAGAUGUGCCCAGAUGGGAUUAGAUAGUAGGUGGGGUAAUGGCUCACCUAGGCGACGAUCCCUAGCUGGUAUGAGAGGAGGACCACCCACACUGGAACUGAGACACGGUCCAGACUACUCCGCGAGGAACCACUGGGAAAUAUUGCACAAUGGGCGCAAGCCUGAUGCAGCCAUGCCGCUUGUGUGAAGAAGGCAUUCGGGUUGUAUAGCACUUUCAGCCAGGAGGCGUUACUCGCAGAAGAGGCACCGGCUAACUCCGUGCCAGCCGCCGCGGUAAUAC
rnacentral:rRNA from 1 species